UACGUAGGGUGCAAGCGUUGUCCGGAAUUAUUGGGCGUAAAGAGCGUGUAGGCGGCCCGAUUAGUCCGCUGUGAAAGUCCAGGGCUCAACCCUGGAAUGCCGGUGGAUACUGUCGGGCUAGAGUCCGGAAGGGGCGAGUGGAACUCCUGGUGUAGCGGUGAAAUGCGCAGAUAUCAGGAAGAACACCAAUGGCGAAGGCAGCUCGCUGGGACGUGACUGACGCUGAGACGCGAAAGCGUGGGGAGCAAACAGG
rnacentral:rRNA from 1 species